UGGUAACAAAUCCUAUCCCUACCUCCUCGCGGUACUGGCUGGGGUACGAGUAACCUUGGGGAAGAUCGGGUAACCAACCCCCGGUGGGAACUUUGGUCGUAUGCUGACAGGGAAGG
rnacentral:ribozyme from 1 species